GGAGGGGAGGAGAGGCAGAAAGAAACCAAAUUUGAAUGUGUUAGAAGUUUCUGUCUUGGCUGCUAGACUCAGUUAUUCAUGUAGCUCUUGGUAAUGGCUCUCACCUUUUUUAGGAUUAACCUCCACGUUUUCCAUAACCAAGCAGUGCUGAGGGUACAUAACACCUUUGCCAAAGACUAUUCUAGUUAAGAGACGUGUGACUGCAAUAGCAUCUGAAAGGUAUCUGGUGCCAAGAGGAAGGAGAGCUUUGGAUUUUUGACCCUGAGCAUGGAGCUCUCACUGUUGGGCUGUGAGCUCUUCACAGCAUGAAGAAAGCACGAUUCACUGCUGUAACGGAGUUCUUCAGAAAAAAAAACGUGUUGUAUCCUGGGUAUUGCCUUGAAUUCUGCAGGUCAUGUCAAGGCUUCUGUAAAGUAUGUCUCAAAGCUUUAAAGAGCUCUUUUGCAACUGUCAAAGUGCUGAGAUCUGCAAGGAAUAGGGUCCCCUGAUAGAGUACAGCCAUGAAAUGAAAACAGAAGAGAAGGAAGAUAAAAGGAGCUGCAAUGCAGAACGGGGGUUACUCCAGCAAUAAGAUAAACUUCCACAACAGUGAGCAUCUCUGCUGUGACAGAGGGAACCUUCCCAGAGAGCUGGUAGGAAGGCCCACCUGGCUUCUUCCUACGUAAAGAAAUGCAAAAGCACGUUGUGUUGAUGCAACCUGCAGGAUGAACUGAAAGAUGCUG
ensembl:lncRNA